AUACGUUAUUCAGAGUCAUUGUGAUUAUUGUUGAGAUCGCAGUGUUCGUUGCUCCUACUGUCGUUCUUCUUCAGAUCAGCUGUGUUAAAAGAGCUGGCAGGAAGAUCUCUCGCCACCCAGAGGAAAUAGAGAUGCCUACAGUAUUACAAUAACAUACUCUCAUAAUACUACUUAUUUUCAUAUUUGUAGAUAUACGCAUACAGCUUUCGGUGUUAUUUUUACAGCGCUUUUUAUUUUACAGAAUGCUUUAAAUAUUAAAUAAACCGAUACAUGUGCGAUUAUUUACGCAAAAAUGUAUUUUUAUAUUUAAAAUAAAUUAAAUUUAAGUGUUUUAUUGAUCCAGUUUUUUAUUCACAAUAUAUGCUGCAGAUAUUUA